UGGUGUGAGGGUGAUCUAGCUGUGACAUGUCACCCCACUCAUCAGUGGAGAUGACUCAGCACAUCUGACUGCAUGGGAAGAUCCCACAGAGCAUCCUCCCUCACUGCCCCACAUGUUUCUCUUCCUAAGCUGCAUGUUCAUUUAAACAGGACAGCCUUCUUUACAAGAGAGUCAUCCUUCUGCUGAGAUAAUAGGAUCCUCUCCUGUUGGAAGGCUCAAACCAGCUUUCUAACCUACAGUAUAUUUCAAAGCACUUUUACCCAGUUUACCUAACAGAAUGUUGCAAGCAGAGAUUC
rnacentral:sRNA from 14 species